UACAGGGGGGGCAAGCGUUGUUCGGAAUUACUGGGCGUAAAGGGCUCGUAGGCGGCCAACUAAGUCCGACGUGAAAUCCCAAGGCUUAACCUUGGAACUGCGUCGGAUACUGGUUGGCUUGAAUUCGGGAGAGGGAUGCAGAAUUCCAGGUGUAGCGGUGAAAUGCGUAGAUAUCUGGAGGAAUACCGGUGGCGAAGGCGGCAUCCUGGACCGACAUUGACGCUGAGGAGCGAAAGCUAGGGGAGCAAACGGG
rnacentral:rRNA from 1 species